GUUCGUUUCAGAAUCCUGAACGGUAAUGGGUGAUAAGACGAGAGACCCACCUUGGUUGAAUUACAUCGGGAUGUCAUGGUAAUUACAGUUUGCCCUCGUAACUGAGCUCUUCCAUUGACGUCAAUCAUGGCCAACAAACGUCCAAACAUUUUCUCAUCCCGGAUAUAAAUUCAUGAAUAAAUUCAAAUGGCCGUUUCAGUUUGAUCUGACUCUUUUCCAGUGGUAUGUGCAUGGAGAUGGCAGUUCUGAUAUAGGGGAGGGGUUGGAUGGCCUAAAGGACAAGGCAUCCUUUGAAACUUCCAGUCCAGUUUCACAAGGGAAAAGAUGGUUAAGAUCGAAUGUAAGUUGUCAUCAGUGUCGUUGUUUUGUAACCGGGUUACUCAAGUCAAUAACGGCAUCAUAAAGAGACUUUAGAAUUAAAUGAACAAUGUUCAAGGCAUCGAAGCACUGUUUUCACGAAAUCAUGCAAGAUUUGGAGUAACAAGCGAUGGAAAUUGAUCGAAUAAUUCUCAUGUUUCCGCGACGAGAAGUUAAAAUAUCAACGCCGGCUCUUCAAACACGAAGCGCGGUGAGCGAGUAACUCGGGGAUGAACUGCGACAAAAUGAUCACAUUUUGACAAGAAUCCGAUCUAAUAAAUCCGACAACGUGGAACUAUCAUCCAAGAUAUUAGGAACAUAGUACUUUGAAAAAAUAUGUCCGAUGUCACCAUCUACAUGAAAACUGACAGCGAAUUUUCAACUUCUAUUGUCGAAAUGCGUCACAUUUCGAAAGCACGUCAGAAUGUCUUGUAAUCGUCUGCUGUUUUACCUGUCAAUCUUCCCCAGCAAUAUAUUCGCGCGCUGUAUCCACAUCUUCGGUUGACGAACUUCGAUUGUCGUAGUCUCUGUGAACAGGAGUUUGGUCGUUGUUAUAUGACAACAUGACGUGAUUAAUGGCUAUAGCCAGUGCCAUUUGAAUAUUGGAAUGAUAAGAAUCUCCUCGGACAAGUAUGUUCAGAUAGGGUCAGGGGCGGAACAUGGAUAGGGUGUUUAGUAAAAUGAAUAUAUCCAGGCACCCAUCGUACUGUUCGAAGAUGCUGUAUAGUACAAUUAUUGUAUAAAUCAAUUAGCAUGAAAUACCUUCUGUUUUACCACAUUAUUGUAAAGCUUUUUAUACCACGAUGAAAGUUUAUCAACGACUUAUUUGACAAUUAUUUAGCAGAUCAUUUAAACAAAAUCUUAACUGCCUGUUGAAAGAGGUAGUUGAUAGAUCCAGCACCCUCACCUACAUUGUUCAAUGGUUAACACUGAAAACUUUUUUUUUUAAUCAAGACUUAGCUUACAACUCAUGAUGUGUGACUGUUCCCCUCACAUACACAAAUUGUGUUGCGAUACUGAUAAGGAUUAAAAUAUUAAAUUAUUCAGUGUUUAUUCCGUACAUUAGUAAGAAUUAAUAAUUGCGUCAUUGUUAGGUAGUCUAUAGAUCUGGACGUUAGUAGUUAUUUGUUUGGAAACCCCCACACUCACACAAGUGAAAAGAGAGAGAACUGUAUUAUGUGUGAGUGUAGGGUUUUCCACAGGCACAAGCACGGAUUUGGCUUUUUUUUCAACAGGGGGGUUUGACCGAGAAAUUUGACAAGUCCCCCCCCAAAAAAAAAAGAGAGGAAAAAAAGGAUUUCACUACUAAAAGCAGGUCAUUAUAGUAUACCGAGAACUUUGAAAGCACACACACAAAAAUGAUUGGCUCCAAAAUGUAGGUCUUAACUUUUUUUUUACUUGGCAGCCGAAUGGUUUCACUACCAAACGCCGGUCUUUUGAAAAGCACAAAAAAGGGGUUGGCUCCAAAACGUAAGUCUUUACUGCAUUUUACAUGGCAGCCCAAUGGGGGAGGGGGGGUUAAACUUCCUACCCCUCACCCCCCCCCCCCCCCGCCACUGUUCCAAACAAAUAACUACUAACGUCUAAAUCUACUAGACUUUACAUUGUUAAGUGUGGGGCAUUGUAAUAUGAAGUAUCUCACCGGGUUAAAGCAUAGGGAAAAACUUAUAGGCCUUGAUGUGGAAAAGGGCAAGAGACGUAAUUAAUCAAGUAUUCCUGAGCCAGUUAGCUUCAUCAUCUUGACAGCUCUCAUAGUCAGCAUCAACAACAUCAUCAUCUUCAUAAAGUAACACCAACCCCUUGCCACAUUCAUCACCAUCGUCAUCAUCAUAAUUAUCAUCAACAUCGUCAUUAUUGACAUCAUCCCCUCAUCAUCAUCAUCAUGAACAUUAGUAUAACUACCUAUUUUAUCUCUCAUCUUACUAUAAAAGUCAUCGUUAUAGGUAUACUGUGUUGAUAUAAUUUAGUUUAUAUCUAUAUCACAUUUACAUCCCCCCCCCCCCCUCAUAAUAUGUUUAUUUACUCUUUCAACGCUAAGUGCACGCUUUUUUUUGAAUGAAUUGGAUGAUCUUCAAGUAAUUAAAUAUUGAUACUCGACCUACACCUAUUUAACUUGACAUUUCAGUCAAAAUCAUGUAAUGUUUCUUUCAUCUCAUCCUUUUAAAUACCAAAGGGGUGCUAUCAGAUAUUUUUAACAAUUUCCCAGAAUUCAAUUUUUUCUCAUUUGGUCGACUAUACUUUUUUAAAGAAUAAAGAUUAAAAAAUAAAAUAAUUUUGUUUUUGGCUGGGAUUCAUCUGACUUCUUGAAUAUAUUCAGUGCACAGAUCAUGUACCAAAUAAUUCAUUAAAAUUCACUUUCCAUGUAUUAUAA